rnacentral:rRNA from 1 species
GACGAACGCUGGCGGCGUGCCUAAUACAUGCAAGUCGAACGAGAGCGACCGGUGCUUGCACUGGUCAAUCUAGUGGCGAACGGGUGAGUAAAACGUGGGUAACCUGCCCAUCAGAGGGGGAUAACAUCCGGAAACGGAUGCUAAAACCGCAUAGGUCUUCGAGCCGCAUGGCUUGAAGAGGAAAAGAGGCGCAAGCUUCUGCUGAUGGAUGGACCCGCGGUGCAUUAGCUAGUUGGUGAGGUAACGGCUCACCAAGGCCGUGAUGCCUAGCCGACCUGAGAGGGUGAUCGGCCACAUUGGGACUGAGACACGGCCCAAACUCCUACGGGAGGCAGCAGUAGGGAAUCUUCCGCAAUGGACGCAAGUCUGACGGAGCAACGCCGCGUGAGUGAAGAAGGUUUUCGGAUCGUAAAACUCUGUUGUUAGAGAAGAACAAGUGCUAGAGUAACUGUUAGCGCCUUGACGGUAUCUAACCAGAAAGCCACGGCUAACUACGUG